UACAGAGGGGGCAAGCGUUGUUCGGAAUUACUGGGCGUAAAGGGCGCGUAGGCGGCCUGCUAAGUCGAACGUGAAAUCCCUGGGCUCAACCCAGGAACUGCGUCCGAUACUGGUUGGCUUGAAUCCGGGAGAGGGAUGUGGAAUUCCAGGUGUAGCGGUGAAAUGCGUAGAUAUCUGGAGGAACACCGGUGGCGAAGGCGGCAUCCUGGACCAACACUGACGCUGAGGAGCGAAAGCCAGGGGAGCAAACGGGG
rnacentral:rRNA from 1 species